rnacentral:rRNA from 1 species
UACGGAGGGUGCAAGCGUUAAUCGGAAUUACUGGGCGUAAAGCGCACGCAGGCGGUCUGUCAAGUCGGAUGUGAAAUCCCCGGGCUCAACCUGGGAACUGCAUUCGAAACUGGCGGGCUAGAGUCUUGUAGAGGGGGGUAGAAUUCCAGGUGUAGCGGUGAAAUGCGUAGAGAUCUGGAGGAAUACCGGUGGCGAAGGCGGCCCCCUGGACAAAGACUGACGCUCAGGUGCGAAAGCGUGGGGAGCAAACAGGAUUAGAUACCCUGGUAGUCCACGCCGUAAACGAUGGCGAGUUGGAGGUUGUGCCCUUGAGGCGUGGCUUCCGGAGCUAACGCGUUAAAUCGACCGCCUGGGGAGUACGGCCGCAAGGUUAAA